AUGGACUUCGUGGGCGGCGACCUGGUGAAGCCGGACCUGGGGCGGUGGCUGGCCGACGUGGAGGAGCACAAGGCGCUGGCCAUCUACCCGCCGCACGAGGGCGGCUACGAGGGCCGCUACCUCAACCGCCUCCGCUACCAGGGCUACUACUUCCUCGACCUCUCCGCGCGCGGCCUCGGCGACCCCGAGUCCACCCUCACCAAGAUCCACCCCGUCUGCCCGCCUAGCCUCGGGAGGCAGCCGGUGGCGAGGUGGUACUUCCCGCCGGAGGUGGACUACAGGCUCAGCCUGCUGCACCCGGACGCCAAAGGGCUCAUCGUCUGGGUCUACGAGGCUAAGGUCUCUCUCAGGCUCUCGCCGCUCUCACACGUUACUCAUCGGCUCCGCUGUUUCUCAUCGUUGUCUGUCGUGUGUUCGUUUCGUUUGCAGGUUCUGUCCAAGGCCGAGCUGCAGUUCCUGGCCAUGCUCCCUGACCUCCGCCCCAAAGUCAGGGUCAUCGCGGAAUGCGGCAACUGGAGAAAAUUCAUCUGGAAACCGCUGAAGCAGAUAUCGGGCCUUGAGCCUGAUCCGGACGCCGAGGAAUGA
rnacentral:rRNA from 1 species